rnacentral:rRNA from 1 species
GAUGAACGCUAGCGAUAGGCCUAACACGUGCAAGUCGAGGGGCAUCACAUGAAGUAGCAAUACGGAUGGUGGCGACCGGCGCACGGGUGAGGUAACACGUAUGCAACCUGCCUUCAACAAGGGGGAUAACCCGUUGAAAAGACGGACUAAUACCCCUAUAACACAGGGGUCCCGCAUGGGGAAUAUUUGUUAAAGGACAACCGGUUGAAGAUGGGCAUGCGUUCCAUUAGCUAGUUGGCGGGGUAACGGCCCACCAAGGCAACGAUGGAUAGGGGGAACUGAGAGGUUUAUCCCCCACACUGGUACUGAGACACGGACCAGACUCCUACGGGAGGCAGCAGUGAGGAAUAUUGGUCAAUGGACGCAAGUCUGAACCAGCCA